rnacentral:rRNA from 1 species
GAUGAACGCUGGCGGCGUGCCUAAUACAUGCAAGUCGAGCGAACGGACGAGAAGCUUGCUUCUCUGAUGUUAGCGGCGGACGGGUGAGUAACACGUGGAUAACCUACCUAUAAGACUGGGAUAACUUCGGGAAACCGGAGCUAAUACCGGAUAAUAUUUUGAACCGCAUGGUUCAAAAGUGAAAGACGGUCUUGCUGUCACUUAUAGAUGGAUCCGCGCUGCAUUAGCUAGUUGGUAAGGUAACGGCUUACCAAGGCAACGAUGCAUAGCCGACCUGAGAGGGUGAUCGGCCACACUGGAACUGAGACACGGUCCAGACUCCUACGGGAGGCAGCAGUAGGGAAUCUUCCGCAAUGGGCGAAAGCCUGACGGAGCAACGCCGCGUGAGUGAUGAAGGUCUUCGGAUCGUAAAACUCUGUUAUUAGGGAAGAACAUAUGUGUAAGUAACUGUGCACAUCUUGACGGUACCUAAUCAGAAAGCCACGGCUAACUACGUGCCAGCAGCCGCGGUAAUACGUAGGUGGCGAGCGUUAUCCGGAAUUAUUGGGCGUAAAGCGCGCGUAGGCGGUUUUUUAAGUCUGAUGUGAAAGCCCACGGCUCAACCGUGGAGGGUCAUUGGAAACUGGAAAACUUGAGUGCAGAAGAGGAAAGUGGAAUUCCAUGUGUAGCGGUGAAAUGCGCAGAGAUAUGGAGGAACACCAGUGGCGAAGGCGACUUUCUGGUCUGUAACUGACGCUGAUGUGCGAAAGCGUGGGGAUCAAACAGGAUUAGAUACCCUGGUAGUCCACGCCGUAAACGAUGAGUGCUAAGUGUUAGGGGGUUUCCGCCCCUUAGUGCUGCAGCUAACGCAUUAAGCACUCCGCCUGGGGAGUACGACCGCAAGGUUGAAACUCAAAGGAAUUGACGGGGACCCGCACAAGCGGUGGAGCAUGUGGUUUAAUUCGAAGCAACGCGAAGAACCUUACCAAAUCUUGACAUCCUUUGACAACUCUAGAGAUAGAGCUUUCCCCUUCGGGGGACAAAGUGACAGGUGGUGCAUGGUUGUCGUCAGCUCGUGUCGUGAGAUGUUGGGUUAAGUCCCGCAACGAGCGCAACCCUUAAGCUUAGUUGCCAUCAUUAAGUUGGGCACUCUAAGUUGACUGCCGGUGACAAACCGGAGGAAGGUGGGGAUGACGUCAAAUCAUCAUGCCCCUUAUGAUUUGGGCUACACACGUGCUACAAUGGACAAUACANAGGGCAGCGAAACCGCGAGGUCAAGCAAAUCCCAUAAAGUUGUUCUCAGUUCGGAUUGUAGUCUGCAACUCGACUACAUGAAGCUGGAAUCGCUAGUAAUCGUAGAUCAGCAUGCUACGGUGAAUACGUUCCCGGGUCU